rnacentral:rRNA from 1 species
GAUGAACGCUAGCUACAGGCUUAACACAUGCAAGUCGAGCGACCGGCGCACGGGUGAUUAACACGUAUCCAACCUUCCCUUUACUCGGAGAUAGCCUUUCGAAAGAAAGAAUAAUACAAGAUGUAAAGGACGGGGAUGCGUUCCAUUAGGUUGUUGGUGAGGUUAAGGCUAACCAAGCCUUCGAUGGAUAGGGGUUCUGAGAGGAAGGUCCCCCACAUUGGAACUGAGACACGGUCUAAAAUCCGACGGGAGGCAGCAGUGAGGAAUACUGGUCAAUGGGCCUUAGCCUGACCCAGCCAAGUAGCGUGAAGGAGGAAUGCUUAUGGGUCGUAAACUUCUUUUAUAUAAGAAGAUGUAUUAUAUGAAUAAGGAUCGGCUAACUCCGUGCCAGCCGCCGCGGUAAUAC